GCACAAUUAUUCCCUUUUGAGCCGUGUGUGCCUCUGCCAUCAGAUGUAUUACCUUCAUGAUGGAAAAAUAUCCACCACAGUUUGUUUAAGUUUGAUCAGAUCAUGCGUGAGAUAGCAAUGGAAAAUCGUCAAAAUGGCGCGGACGAAUGCAAGGAGCCUGAGGAAUCUGAUGAGGCUUGGGAAGCGAGGCAAAUUGAGGACACCUUUGCCAUUUGCCGAAAGCUUGCACGAGCUCCGUAUUCUUCAGAUGGGAGGCAACAGCAUGAUGAACAAAGGAGUCUACGCCAUCCUCGAGGGUUGCCCUCACCUCGAGGAUGGAUACCUGCAGUUUGUGAUUUGGAUAUUGAUAUGGUGAUCCUCCAAACAUAAGUUCUGUUAAUGACUUCGGUUUAUUGAUGAAUUCAGCUAAUGGUAUGUUUUGUUUGGAUUUUGUAGUUUUGAAAGAUUGUAGUAUCACAAGAAACUUCAGUUUUAAAACCUAGAGGUGGGUGUAAAACCAUGGUUUAUAGAAGAACAAAGGUCUCGGUGGAGUUUGUACAACUACUACUACAGGAUUGUAGUUUUUACCGGACCAUGGUUUUCCAAAUUAUAAGGUUUCUCACAUUCAAA